GUGGGAGAAGGAGAAGGGUGUUCCUGGAUGGAACUCAUACUUUACAGAAGGGAGACAAUCUGGGGAGAGAAAGAGGGCCAGUGGGACAGGGAGGGGAGAUGAGAAAAGAUCAUGGGAGAUAAACAUGAGAAAAACAUAGUGAUGGACGGGUAUGAGAAACACCAUGAUGAAGCCCAUUAUCUAAUAGUCAACAUAAAACAUUACUCAACAAUUUUUGUAACAGCACGAAAAAGGAAUUCCAUAAUUUAUAUAGAGAGACCACAAGAGCUGUCUAUGCUGAGUUCCUAUCUUGUGUUUAUAAUUAAUUUUGGCUCUUAAGUGCGGUCUUAAAAUGGCUUUUGGGUUGUUUUGCUCAGCUCUUAUCUUUUUACCGUCCACCAGAUAGCCAUUAAUUUCCCUAAGUGACAGAGACCAGAAUUUUACUUGUGGAACACAAGAGUUAGUGCCUAUUAUGGUGCAAAAUACAUUAAUAAGAAAAUAGUGAAUAGCUAUUGAAAUGAAACACAUGAUAGACUAUAGACGUCUGCUUCAAAGGUCAAUAGGUUUUUUUUUUUUUUUUUUUUAGGGGCGAUUAAUACUAGCUCAUUCAAAAUAGUACAUUUAAGUUUUAUCAGUAAGAAACAAUUAGGGAAGCAUUCACAAACAAAAUUUAUUAAUAAAUGUCUUCAGGAUGAUGUCAUAUAUAUUACUGAUUUUAACAGUAAAGCAUUAAUAUAUGGAGUAGGUAUAUUUUACAAAUAUGGCAGUUUGAUUAGGAGAGAGAAGAGAGCUUAUUGUGGGAGCCAAAAAUCAAUUUUUCUAUUCAACAUCAGUGCCUUAACACUUUUCUUCAUGGCCCAAGUAGCGGAUUCUUUUCUCUACUUCUCCUCCAUGUUACACUGUCCAGCUCAAUUGGACCAUGCAAACAGCCAGUAGGGUGGAUCAGAGGCCAGCAUGUAAUCUCCAAACAUCAUCUCUGCCUCCCUGCUUAAUUAGCUGGUGUUGCCAUUAGUACACAGACCAGCAUUUUCGUGCUCUCCUCGGAAGCCUUGAGGUCUUAGAAUCCUAUCCUUUCAAUGUCAUCUCUUUUCUUGGGGGAAUGGAAUAGGGCAAGGAUGAGAAAGCGUAUUUAUCCUUUCCUUGUUCUUUUCAAGUUUUUAGGGUUUUGAUAUGCUUAAUUCUAAAAUGCAGAUAAUCAUAUGACAUUGUGACAAAUUGGGGUAAUUUGAAUUUUUCUCUUGCCUUUGUAAAUUUUCAAUCACUAUCUUCGGCAGAUGAUCUCAAAGAAAACGUGAUAAAAGAGAAAGUAAAAAUUCAGAUUUGAUGUUCCUAUUAUUCAGAUGUUAUACUGAAUUUUAGUCCAAGUGUUCAGAUAGAUUGCCAAAAAAGGAAAAAUAAAAAUGUCAUUGCCUUUGUUUUAACUAGGAACUUUCUACCUAAUUACAUUCAUCUAUUCCUUAACAAACCAGGAAAGAAAGCAGACUCCGUGACGUCCUAUGAAAGUGCAUUUGAUAAUUGCUGAUGGCUGAGUUUGUUUUUAAAAUUUCUUUUGUACAUACAAAUGAGGAGAGGGUUUAAAUCCUCAUGUUGUCAAAUUACAGAGCAAACAAAUGGCUCUCAAACUUGUGGGAGUUCCAGAAUCAGUUGGUGGCUUUGCAAAAGCUUCAACUUGCUAACCCCACUCCCUGAGGUCUGAGUACUACUCCAUCCAGAAAUUUGCAUGCCUAACAAGGCUCCAACUGAUGCUGAUGUUGCUGGUACAGAACCAGCCUUUGAGAACCAAGGAGCAAUUCGGGUUCAUUUCCUGCUUUUCUUGAAAAGUAAAAGUUACAAGCUAACAGCUGCCAUGUCCAGAAUUGAGUGGCUGUUAGGAGAACCCUCUGUAGAGCUUUAGCUAUCUUCUUAUGCAGUUCUACUCCACAAAGCAAAAUGAACUGAGUAAAACUCAAGACUUUACUUGAUCCAGUUCUCUAUCCCAGAUGAUUGGAAUAUGCCUAGUUCUUUCUGCCUACUGUUGGAGCCCGAGAUUUCCUUCAAAAAUACAUUAGUCAUACUCCAUCCCAUCAGAUGAAAAAUUCUCUCUCCACCCACUCCUCUAUUCCAGAAUUACUCUUGAUAUUUAUGGAUCUAACAUGACUUCACAGAAAAAAAUACAAAGGACUGAGGUGAGUUACUGUGUUGAGUCACCGCUUCCCAGC
rnacentral:lncRNA from 1 species